rnacentral:rRNA from 1 species
GAUGAACGCUGGCGGCGUGCCUAAUACAUGCAAGUCGAGCGAAUGGAUUAAGAGCUUGCUCUUAUGAAGUUAGCGGCGGACGGGUGAGUAACACGUGGGUAACCUGCCCAUAAGACUGGGAUAACUCCGGGAAACCGGGGCUAAUACCGGAUAACAUUUUGAACCGCAUGGUUCGAAAUUGAAAGGCGGCUUCGGCUGUCACUUAUGGAUGGACCCGCGUCGCAUUAGCUAGUUGGUGAGGUAACGGCUCACCAAGGCAACGAUGCGUAGCCGACCUGGGAGGGUGAUCGGCCACACUGGGACUGGGAAACGGCCCAGACUCCUACGGGAGGCAGCAGUAGGGAAUCUUCCGCAAUGGACGAAAGUCUGACGGAGCAACGCCGCGUGAGUGAUGAAGGCUUUCGGGUCGUAAAACUCUGUUGAUAGGGAAGAACAAGUGCUAGUUGAAUAAGCUGGCACCUUGACGGUACCUAACCAGAAAGCCACGGCUAACUACGUGCCAGCCACCGCGGUAA